UACGUAGGUGGCGAGCGUUGUCCGGAUUUACUGGGCGUAAAGAGCGCGCAGGCGGCUGGUCAAGUCCGAUGUGAAAGCUCCCGGCUUAACUGGGAAAUUGCAUCGGAAACUGAUCGGCUGGAAGGUGGGAGAGGGUAGCGGAAUUCCCGGUGUAGUGGUGAAAUGCGUAGAUAUCGGGAGGAACACCAGUGGCGAAGGCGGUUGCCUGGGGCUUUACUGACGCUGAUGCGCGAAAGCGUGGGGAGCGAUCCGG
rnacentral:rRNA from 1 species